GAUGAAUGCUGGCGGCGUGCCUAACACAUGCAGGUCGAGCGGCAGCGCGAGUAGUUUACUACUUGGCGGCGAGCGGCGGACGGCUGAGUAACGCGUAGGAACGUGCCCCAAAGUGAGGAAUAACUGCCCGAAAGGGUGGCUAAUGCCGCAUAUGAUCUUCGGAUUAAAGUCUUCGGACGCUUUGGGAGCGGCCUGCGUUAGAUUAGGUAGUUGGUGAGGUAAUGGCCCACCAAGCCGACGAUCUAUAGCUGGUCUGAGAGGAUGAUCAGCCAGACUGGGACUGAGACACGGCCCAGACUCCUACGGGAGGCAGCAGUGAGGAAUCUUCCACAAUGGGCGAAAGCCUGAUGGAGCAACGCCGCGUGAAGGAUGAAGGCCCUAGGGUCGUAAACUUCUUUUAUAAGUGAAGAAUAUGACGGUAACUUAUGAAUAAGCACCGGCUAACUACGUG
rnacentral:rRNA from 1 species